UACCUGGGCGGGAAGCCGGGCGCCUCCUUAUUUCUUUACGGGGGCGCUGGCUACGGGCGCUCCCUCGAGGGGCGGGCAGGGGCAGCCGAGCAGGGGAAGAACUGGGCCGCCUGUAGAGGGCGGGCCGAAGGUCGGCGGGAGGAUCUGACCUGGGUCAACCGAGCCGAAGGGGCCCCUUAUCCCGGCUCGCGGGGAAUAUUCUUCCUCUCGCCGCUCUCUCCACUGCCCGCAGGUGGAGGCCGCGCCAUCCGCGCCAUCCACAUCCUCGCAGGGCCCUUGGCUGGCUGCCGAGGGGCUUCCCGGGACUCCGGCCGCGCUUCCUUGGCCCGGAGCCCGGCGAGAAGGGAGUGGGGCCCCUGGAUCCUGGAGCCCUCAUGGACUGGCCCAGUGCCUGGAGCAAAUUCUGCUCCCGGCCCCGCGUAGUAUCUUCCUCCCAGGAAAUUCCCCACACUACGAGGGUCUCGGACCCGGAAAAUGUAAUGGGUUUCAGGUCCAAGAGGGAUAGUGAGUGGCUAAUGAGAUCGCUCCCAGGGUCCAGUUCCCUUUUGCAGACUGCUAAGGAGUUUGGGGCUGGGGCUGAAGUUAAAGGCAAGAACUUCUACCCUCGGGAGGCAGCCCGUUAGUCACCAACCCUCUACUUGGUCCUUUGCAAUCCUUUCCAGACCUUCUGUGGUCUCCUGUCACACAGGGCUCACCUGGGGGGACCCUGAUGGCCAGAUUCUCUUGAACAGUCUCUAGGGACAUAUUGGGUAUUGCUAUACCUUCAUCCAUUGAACAGAACAAAUGAAGCAUCCAUUAACUUCGAAUGAUCAGAUGCUAGGGUGUGAGGAAUUUUCAGGCCAAAAUGCACUGGGUUAUUGUCUCCUAUUGACAGUGUGAUAUUACAGAUAACCUCUAGGAGAUCCUGAACAUAUUCAGGCUAAACCAGGCAAACAAACAUUCAGGAUGUUACCAGUGUGGAAAACCCCUAGGAGAGACAGCCAAAAUUAAGACUGAUGGAGAAAUUUC
rnacentral:lncRNA from 1 species